CCGUCAACUUUUUAACAGAUCUUUUGGUCUUCAUUUCAUGAAUUUGAUUGUUGGCUGGGAGAUUUUUCGUCCUUUGUAGAGCGUGGGUGUGAGCCAUGUUCUAUCUUUAGGGUAUUUUUUAUUUAUUUUUUACGAAUUUGGGUUCAUUUAUUUGGUUACUUUGAUUUCAGGUUCUUGGGUAAUCCCUAAUGCUUUUUUUAUUUAUUUUUUACGAAUUUGGGUUCAUUUAUUUGGUUACUUUGAUUUCAGGUUCUUGGGUAAUCCCUAAUGCUAUAUAAGAGGAGCUGAGGUUCUUGGGUAAUCCCUAAUGUUAUAUAAGAGGAGUUGAGGUAUUUAUAUUUCACAACAUAUUGGGUUCUAUGAGGAAGGGGAUUGAAUCUCACAGAUUAGCUCAGCUUGAAUACACCAAAAGGCAAGGGACUAGACAUUUGCAUUCUGCUGUCAUUUUCGAGGUCAAGACCUCCAUCAAAGAGAAGAAAAAUCAUAAAGAACUUGCAAAACAAAACUCGCCCAAUUAAACAGCAUGCUGCUCAAAACUAUCCAAAUUUUGCUAUUUUGAUGGCUACUUCCCACUAUUAACAUCUCAAUGUAUAUACAAACAAGUCUACUAUUUUAACAUAACAAGUAGCCUGUAAAAUAUGUUAUUACUUACUUUUUUUGCAACUUAUACUCCCUUAGUUAAACAUAAUGCUAUAAGUUAAAUCUCAUUGUAUAUAUAAACAAUCUUACUUUGUCUACGCAAUUUUAAAACCCGCAGCAUCGCGCGGGCUUUUCU